CCUACGGGAGGCAGCAGUGAGGAAUAUUGGUCAAUGGCCGAAAGGCUGAACCAGCCAAGUAGCGUGAAGGAUGACUGCCCUAUGGGUUGUAAACUUCUUUUAUAUGGGAAUAAAAUGUUCCACGUGUGGGAUUUUGUAUGUACCAUAUGAAUAAGAAUCGGCUAACUCCGUGCCAGCAGCCGCGGUAAUACGGAGGAUCCGAGCGUUAUCCGGAUUUAUUGGGUUUAAAGGUAGCGUAGGUGGAUUGUUAAGUCAGUUGGGAAAGUCUGCGGCUCAACCGUUAAAUGGCAGUUGAAACUGGCAGGCUUGAGUACAGGAGAGGUGGGCGGAAUGCGUGGUGUAGCGGUGAAAUGCUUAGAUAUCACGAAGAACUCCGAUUGCGAAGGCAGCUCACGGGACUGCAACUGACACUGAGGCUCGAAAGUGUGGGUAUCAAACAGGAUUAGAUACCCUUGUAGUC
rnacentral:rRNA from 1 species